rnacentral:rRNA from 1 species
CAGCAGCCACGGUAAUACGGAGGGUGCAAGCGUUAAUCGGAUUUACUGGGCGUAAAGCGUGCGUAGGCGGCUUCUUAAGUCGGAUGUGAAAUCCCUGAGCUUAACUUAGGAAUUGCAUUCGAUACUGGGAAGCUAGAGUAUGGGAGAGGAUGGUAGAAUUCCAGGUGUAGCGGUGAAAUGCGUAGAGAUCUGGAGGAAUACCGAUGGCGAAGGCAGCCCCCUGGGCCAAUACUGACGCUCAUGCACGAAAGCGUGGGGAGCAAACAGGAUUAGAUACCCCUGUAGUCCCUGUCUCUUAUAC